rnacentral:tRNA from 1 species
GUUUUAUGAGUAUAUCAGUACAUUUGACUUCCAAUCAAAAAGUUCUUGUUUAAGCCAAGAAUAAAAUA